rnacentral:lncRNA from 1 species
AUUAAGUAUGUAGCAUUGGACUGAGAGGCAUCGGGAACGUAAUAGAUGCUACUCUCUCUGGUACGCAAACUGUGUAGUAGCAUCAAAUAUCCUGUCUUCACUCACCAUUCACGCAGAACAAACGGAAGGAGCAGAAUAGGCACUCGCUUGUGCACUUUAGUUCCUCCCUUUACAUCCCACCUCUUUGCACUUUCAGUCUCACCAUUCAGAACAAACAGAAGGAUUAUGUUUUCAUGUGGUACUUAAUUAAGUUCCUACUAGUCCAUCAACUCGUGCUCCCGCACGAGCUAAUAUUUUUAGAAGUUAUUAUAUUGAAAAUUAUUUAAAAAUUAAACUCCUAGCUAAUAAUCAAAAUUGAUUACCUAUUACUCUCUUAUUUUUUUCAAUACGUCAACAUAAUACUUAUAUAGAUAUGUACCUAUCUUUGUCCAGUUGUGAUUGAUUUUUAAUUAAUAAUUACUCUAUGCACUUUUUCAUCCAUAUUCAUACUUUUUUCAUUUUGUAUCACACCUCCAAUCCUCCAU